AAAGUACUCCCUCCGUCCGAAAAAGCUUGUCCCUCAAAUGGAUGUAUCUAGCACCAAGUUAGUGCUAGAUACAUCCAUUUGAAAGACAAGCUUGGGACAAACUUUUUCGGACGGAGCGAGUAACAG
rfam:Triticum aestivum genome assembly, contig: Triticum_aestivum_CS42_TGACv1_scaffold_513892_6BS